rnacentral:sRNA from 1 species
AAGCUUAUUAAGGUUGUUUGCUUAAUAACUUAGUCGGGUGUUUAGCCAGACUCUAUAUAAAUUGUG